AUGCAAAAUCUCCUCCAAUGGGUGUUGAGAGAGGUGUUGAGUGUGUGUUGGAAGAGAGAGGUGUUGAGAAAACUCAACACAAUUGAAGCUGACCAAAGGCAUGACGUGGCAGCGCCUCAUUGGUCUGGGCCAGGCGCGUGUAGCCCACUCGCUGGGGGGCGUUUCGACCACGAUCGAAGAAAAUGGGCGGAGAAGGUCUGGCCAGCAGCUCGUGGUGCCGGCGAUGCGAGGUUGUUGCACCGCCGGAAGAGGAACGGUAUCAAAUCCGUUGGUUUUGAACUACGGUUGGUGGAUUUUGGGAUUUAG